UACUUGUUUCUGGGGAUGUCGUAAACGGCAUGAGAGUAAGUUGUGAACUUAGACCCAUUGAACCUGUCAGUUAAUACUGGUGAAGGGAGAAACAUAGCAAACGCU
rfam:Enterococcus thailandicus strain F0711D 46 Ent-16_S35_L001_001_8, whole genome shotgun sequence.